rnacentral:rRNA from 1 species
UUCCGGUUGAUCCCGCCGGACCUGACUGCUAUCGGAUUGAUACUAAGCCAUGCGAGUCUUUGUAGUAAUACAAGGCAGACGGCUCAGUAACACGUAGUCAACCUACCCUAUGGACGAGAAUAAUCUCGGGAAACUGAGCAUAAUUCUUGGUAGAUCAUAAUGCCUGGAAUGGUUUAUGGUUAAAAUGAUUCGUCGCCAUAGGAUGGGACUGCGGCCUAUCAGCUUGUUGGUGAGGUAAUGGCCCACCAAGGCGAUUACAGGUACGGGCUCUGAGAGGAGAAGCCCGGAGAUGGGUACUGAGACACGGACCCAGGCCCUAUGGGGCGCAGCAGGCGAGAAAACUUUGCAAUGUGCGAAAGCACGACAAGGUUAAUCCGAGUGAUUUCUGCUAAAGAAAUCUUUUGUCAGUCAUAAAACCACUGGCGAAUAAGGGGUGGGCAAGUUCUGGUGUCAGCCGCCGCGGUAAAACCAGCACCUCAAGUGGUCAGGAUGAUUAUUGGGCCUAAAGCAUCCGUAGCCGGCUUUGUAAGUUUUCGGUUAAAUCCAUGUGCUCAACGCAUGGGCUGCCGAAAAUACUGCAUGGCUAGGGAGUGGGAGAGGUAGACGGUACUCAGUAGGAAGGGGUAAAAUCCUUUGAUCUAUUGAUGACCACCUGUGGCGAAGGCGGUCUACCAGAACACGUUCGACGGUGAGGGAUGAAAGCUGGGGGAGCAAACCGGAUUAGAUACCCGGGUAGUCCCAGCCGUAAACGAUGCAGACUCGAUGAUGCAUUGGCAUAAUAGCCAGUGCAGUGUCGCAGGGAAGCCGUUAAGUCUGCCGCCUGGGAAGUACGUACGCAAGUAUGAAACUUAAAGGAAUUGGCGGGGGAGCACCACAAGGGGUGAAGCCUGCGGUUCAAUUGGAAUCAACGCCGGA